UGUCCGUCGCUUUUUUAAGUUUUUAAAAUAAAAUUUCCAGAAAAGCGACGGACAGU
rnacentral:pre_miRNA from 1 species